CCUACGGGAGGCAGCAGUGAGGAAUAUUGGUCAAUGGGCGCGAGCCUGAACCAGCCAAGUAGCGUGAAGGAUGACUGCCCUACGGGUUGUAAACUUCUUUUAUAAAGGAAUAAAGUGAGGCACGUGUGCCUUUUUGUAUGUACCUUAUGAAUAAGGAUCGGCUAACUCCGUGCCAGCAGCCGCGGUAAUACGGAGGAUCCGAGCGUUAUCCGGAUUUAUUGGGUUUAAAGGGAGCGUAGAUGGGUUGUUAAGUCAGGUGGGAAAGUUUGCGGCUCAACCGUAAUAUUGCAAUUGAAACUGGCAGUCUUGAGUACAGUUGAGGUAGGCGGAAUUCGUGGUGUAGCGGUGAAAUGCUUAGAUAUCACGAAGAACUCCGAUUGCGAAGGCAGCUUACUAGACUGCCACUGACAUUGAUGCACGAAAGUGUGGGUAUCGAACAGGAUUAGAUACCCUUGUAGUC
rnacentral:rRNA from 1 species